GAUCUUAUAGGUGUGUUCGGUUAAGCCCCGCGUGGAUUGUACCCAUCUCAUAUGAAUUGUUGUAUAUUCUAGUAUUGCUUCUGAAUUUCAUACACAGAGCACAUUGGUAAAUUCUUUUAACAGUUGCAUUUUGUGUAAAGCAGUACUUUCUGAUUAGUGCUGCAUCAGCAUAUGAACUGCCAUCAAACCCAAUAAGAGUCGCGUGAAUGGCGCUCGCUGGGUGAUCCACGCGAUUUUACUGUGCCGAUCCCUGGGCUAUGCCACGUCGGAUCGCUGUGGAGAAAAAAAAUUGUCGAUUGGGCAGCGGCUUAAUGACGACCAAACCCCAGAUAAACACCUCCCUUUGCUUUCCUUCCCCACGAAGCAAACCCCACAUCCCGUCAUCCGCAUUUCUCGCACGCAAUCUCUGCCGCCUCCACAUCGCUCUCCGGCAUUCAUGCGCUGCCGCCUCCGCCACUUCUACUCAUGACUGCUUCUACCUCGCCUUCUCCUCCACAUCUCUCUCCUACCGAUCUGAAGCAGUCCAGCCCCGCGUCGUCCCCUCCUCCUUGACCAUCUCUCCUCCUGAGGAGCACGGAUCAGGUGCCGACGGUACCAAGGAGGAGCACACGGGGGCGCCGAUGGCAUCCACACGUGAUGGUGGGUAUGUCACCGAGGGUCAGCAGAGACGCGGGACGGAGGAAGAAGAUGGCGUGGGGGAUGAGGCGGCGUAUGGAGGAAGCGGGCGAGGCUGGCUGACCUCAACCAAGGAGGAGGUGGUGUCGUGAAAGAAUACGGCAUCGGCAAAGCCAUACCUUGCAUCUCUUUCAAUUGGUACGGUAUGACCAGGACAUUUGUAUGAUGGCGGACAGGCACCUCAACGUAAGUGACUUGUUGAGCCUCGCUGCCACCUGCCAUUGGUUUCUCCGCCUCCUCAAGAGGUCUCCUGCAUUGUUAAUCUAAUAUUCUGAUUAUUUGUUUUGUUUUUGAGUUCACUAAAUACCCAGAUUGUAAAUUCAGGAGCCAUUAAUUUUCUCCUGAUAAUAUAGUUGAUCUAUACGCAUAAAAGGUUCAGCAUUCCCGUACUUGUAAUAUUUUGAAGUUUUAUGGUUCUAUUUUAAUCAUAUCUCUGUUCGAUUGUAAUGUACAUUGGGAUAUUUUUUGCAGUCACAUGGUCUUUCUGGGAAGACUUAGCCGACAUGAGCAUGUUCAUCACACUAUUGUUCUUGAUAGAUGAAAUCACAGUAAUUGUUCUUCAUAGACGAAAUAUCGUGGAUAAUCAUAUAUCAUUUAGUCUGACUGAGACAAAGCUUGUCACUUGUAGAAUUUAGACAUCGGAAAAGUUAUUAUUUAUGAAUCAAGUUUUGGGUAAAGAAAUCUCAAAACUGAAGAAAUACAUCGAGAUGUUGCAGGUUAUUCCACGUUCUGUAGCUAUUAGCUAUUAUUAUAUAUGUAAUUGUUAGCUUCCAUAUAACUUCAUAUUUUCUUGGGUGACGUUAUGGCUGAUGGCACAUCAUUGUUGCAAUGUUCUGGGUUGUAUAUUCCUUGUGUACUGUGAACAUACGAGGACACUUGCAUAUUCUUGCUUCUCUGCUUGGAAUAUCAAAUAAUCGAUAGGCUUCUUUUUCAUUUCAAGGGCUAACAAAUUGAUGUGACCUUGAUAUUUGCAUCUCAGAUGAUGUUCAAUUUGUGCAUAAGGAAGAUGAACUGAAGUUUAACUGUAAAGAAAGCAGGGUGGCAACGACGACAUAAGUCUUGUUGUUUGGUUUAUGCUGUUUCGGCCAAGCUUAAAAGAAUCUCAACGGAAGGAAUUUGAGAAUAAGCUUGUGGACAGUGAGAACUUGUUGAACUUGGAGGAGUAGCGUACCAGGAGCAGCUGCUGUUGUGUCUUUCUUGGUGUGUGGCGGCUCACACGGAACAGAGGAGGAGGAGCACCUCUUCUAGGUCAACAUUUCUCAUGGGCUUGGGCCUAAGAGAUAGGUACAGAUGGGCUAGGGCCCAUACCAGUUCAACACUCCCCCUCAAGAUGGGUGGUAGAUAUCUAUCAUUUCCAUCUUGUCGCAAGCUAGGUUGCAUUCCUUUGCUGCCAAACCUUUUGUUAAGCAGUCUGCUAUCUGUUGGCCUAUGUGCACAUACUCAAUCUUUAUAACCCCAGCAUCAAGCUUCUCUUUGAUGAAGAAUCGAUCAAUCUCUACAUGCUUAGUUCUGUCAUGUUGCACUGGGUUGUUAGCUAUGCAUAUAGCAGACCUGUUGUCACACCAGACAUUCAGAGGUCCUUCUCUUAGCAAUUUCAAUUCACUUAGAAGGUUUCUCACCCACAACAUCUCACUUAACCCCUGAGACAUGGCUCUAUAUUCUGCUUCUGCUGUUGAUUUUGAUACAACUGGCUGCUUCUUGCUUCUCCAUGAAACUAAGUUACCUCCCACAAACACACAAUACCCAGAUAUUGAUCGACGAUCAUCCAGGCAACUUGCCCAGUCUGCAUCACUAUACCCAUCAACUACCAAGUGGCCAUUCCCUUCGAACCACAGUCCUCUUCCUGGUGUUCCCUUCAAAUACUUCAGAAUUCUGUGUGCUGCCUCCACAUGUCCACUUCUGGGCUCAUGCAUAUACCUACUCACUAUGCUCACAACAUAGGCAAUGUCUGGCCUUGUGUGACACAAGUAUAGUAAACGCCCUACCAGUCUUUGGUAUUUCUCCUUAUCCACUAGAUCUCCAGAUUGUGUUGUUACCUUAUGGUUUUGGUCAAUUGGGGUAGUAGC